rnacentral:tRNA from 1 species
UCCCUGGUGGCUCAACUGAUAAAGAAUCUGCUUGCAAUGCAGGAGACCUGGGUUCAAUCCCUAGGUUGGGAA